rnacentral:rRNA from 1 species
GAUGAACGCUGGCGGCGUGCCUAAUACAUGCAAGUCGAGCGAACAGACGAGGAGCUUGCUCCUCUGACGUUAGCGGCGGACGGGUGAGUAACACGUGGAUAACCUACCUAUAAGACUGGGAUAACUUCGGGAAACCGGAGCUAAUACCGGAUAAUAUAUUGAACCGCAUGGUUCAAUAGUGAAAGACGGUUUUGCUGUCACUUAUAGAUGGAUCCGCGCCGCAUUAGCUAGUUGGUAAGGUAACGGCUUACCAAGGCAACGAUGCGUAGCCGACCUGAGAGGGUGAUCGGCCACACUGGAACUGAGACACGGUCCAGACUCCUACGGGAGGCAGCAGUAGGGAAUCGUCCGCAAUGGGCGAAAGCCUGACGGAGCAACGCCGCGUGAGUGAUGAAGGUCUUCGGAUCGUAAAACUCUGUUACUAGGGAAGAACAAAUGUGUAAGUAACUAUGCACGUCUUGACGGUACCUAAUCAGAAAGCCACGGCUAACUACGUG